CCUGAAGUGCUUUCAGUCGAAGAAAACUAUUGGUGAUCCAGUUCUUUACAUCCCUCCAGCUACUCGUAAAUCCACUUCUUGUUCCUGUGCAGUAUUUUUUUUUUUUACACGCCGAGUUAAGUCUGUUUGUUUGUAAAUUUGCUGUCUAAUAUCUCCUAAUACCUCAUUACUCCAGGUCUAAAUGAUAAAUCUAGUAUUUGAUCUAAGUAGUAUGUUUUUUUCUAGAUUCCCUUUUUAAAGAAUUAUGAUUAUAACGAACUUGAUUGAUUAUCUUGCCAUUUUCUUUUACAUAUACAUUACAUAAUGGUAUGUGUUUAUUCUGUCUGCCAAUUCACACCCACUUCUGUCAGGGUUAUAGACCUGUCUGUGUGUGUUUUUGCUCCCUGUGACCCAGUUUUUGUCUCUCGUUGAUUGUGUUAAUUUGAUUCCAGUUGUGUCUAGUUCUUCCCCAAUUAUCCUGUGUUUAAAAGCUCUAGUCAUUUCAAUCAGUGUUUGUCAGUUCUAAAGGUCUAUCCAUGUGUUUCCUAUGUGAUUGAAUUAUUAAAGACUGUGGUUUUGAAGAACUCCUUGUUUCCUCGUUCCUUGCUCCCCAAGCUAAUUGUGACAACUAUUUGUAUUGCCAGAAGGUACAAUCACUCUUGCUAUGUUCUCCAUACAUAAUGUAUAGACCAGUGCUUUAUUUAACAUGUUUAAAGUGGUUGAAAUUGGAAAAAAAAAGUGUCAUAAGAAUAUUCAGUCUUUAUUUAAUAAUUUACCCAUGCUUUUUAACAUCUCUUAUUUUCUUCCUUUUGCAGUUUGCCAUCAAAUUUAUCCUGAAGAGGUCAGUGGACUUCCUUUUUGAAAUUGAAAGACGGUCUAAGAUGAAUGAUAGCGAUGGCAUUCAAGAUCACCACCCCGCAUUCCACUGCCAUCUACCUCUCAGAACGAAUUCAACCCAAUAAAAACACAAAGUCCACCAAACCAAAAAAUCCUCAGGCUUUGCUCUUGAUCCAUCAUCAGACCAGUUUCAAAGUCUUUCUCCAACACCAGAACACAGUGUGUCCUUGAUCUGUGAAUAUAAGAGAUGUGAAAAGUAAGACGCACGCGUUCACACAGGAUCAGACGAUCAGGAGGACCCCUGGGUGACAAAUAAUGACAGCAGAGUGAUGGUGACUUCAACAAGCAGGGCUUUGAAGCGCUGAGCUGCACAGGUCACAGAUCAGAGCGGUGGGAGGAAGGCCGUCUCUGUGUCAGUGAUGCAGCUAUGUGACCGUGAAAUAAUGUUCUGGUAGCUCUGCACACAUGGUUUUUGAUACUUCUCUCCAGCCAGGGAGCGUCUGUAGACAACGCACAUCAAAGGAAUGAGCAGAGGUGCUUGAUGACGGCGUGAGAGAAAAAUUGGAGACGGAAUGCUGUUUAUAUUUUGUACCGCCUGCAGGAAUCAAUUGUAUACUGAGUGACAUGGUUUGUCAUGAAUUAAUAUUAUUUUGAAAACAUAAUUUCAGAAGUUUCUUUGCUGUUUAUAGAGGCCUGCAAAAGAAACCCUUGAGGACAAGGAGUGAGUUUGCUCAGCGUGGGAUGCUGGGACUGUUCCUAAGUUCUAUUAUACUGAGUGUUUUAGGUAAAGAGACUCUCAGUCGCCUCUUUAGAGUCAUUCAGUAGUUCCUGACCAUGUCAGUGAAACCCAAUACUUGCACCUUAACAGCUAGCAAUCAGUACUAUGCUAAUUAGCAGGUAAAAAAAAAUAAAAGGUGUAGUGCAAGAAAAGAACUGUGUCUGAAAGAGGGAUUUUAAUGUUUUAUUGUUGUUGCUUUUUUUGGCUUAAACUGUAGAUUUGUGAUUAUGAAUGUUUAAUAAAUACAGUGAAAUAUCCAUACAAAUCUAGAGGUUUUUUUUUAACAAAGCUAUGGCAUACAUUACAGGUGUGUUGUAAAA
rnacentral:lncRNA from 1 species